UUCUUUUUUUGGUCCCCACCAGGCUGGAUGAAGAGUCCUCUUACUCCAGUUUCAUAAUUAAUAAUGGCCGUGGAUGCUGCUAUAUCUGUUACCAUCUUGGCAUCAGAAUAGUUACAAUGACACUCGGAAGUCGCUCACAAGGUGCCCCAUCUGGGAGAAGUGGAUACCCAUGUCUCCUCAGAAACAGUCACGCAAUAGCUGUGUUCCCAGCAAUGGCAGCCAGCCUUUGCUGACACAGCUGAGCUCCAUGAACAUCUCCUUCUCACCCCAAGAUGGAUGCCUGCUCUCUCCCUCUCCCCUGGAAGUUUUACUCCUGCCCUCUUAAGGCUGCAUGGUGGCAGAUUUACACUGAUUGAAGUCAUUUGGAAUGUCACAGUUUGUUACACAGCAAUAUGUAACCACUACAGCAGGUUGUAACCAAAUGUCUGACCCUUGGGUAAAUGAGGCAAGAGAAUAAAAAAGAAAAUAUAUGUGGCA